rnacentral:misc_RNA from 1 species
GAUGAAGACGCAGCGAAAUGCGAUACGUAAUGUGAAUUGCAGAAUUCAGUGAAUCAUCGAAUCUUUGAACGCAUAUUGCGCUCUUUGGUAUUCCGAAGAGCAUGCUUGUUUGAGUAUCAGUAAACACCUCAACCUCUUCUUGAUUUUUCAAAAGGAGGGUGGACUUGAGCUAUCCCAACAACCUUUACCGGUCGGCGGGCGGCUUGAAAUGCAGGUGCAGCUGGACUUUUAUCUGAGCUAAAAGCAUAUCUAUUUAGUCCUCGUCAAACAGGAUUAUUACUUUUGCUGCAGCUAACAUAAAGGAUAAUUGUCCUCUUUGCUGACUGAUGCAGGAUUUUACGACACUUUAUGUGUUGUUCAACUCGAUCUCAAAUCAAGUAAGACUACCCGCUGAACUUAAGCAUAUCAAUAAGCGGAGGA